rnacentral:rRNA from 1 species
AUUGCACGCUGGUGGCAGGCCUAACACAUGCCAGUCGAGCGGAGCGGCAGACGGGUUAGUAAUGCCUAGGAAUCUGCCUGGUCGUGGGGGAUAACGUCCGGAAACGGGCGCUACUAGCGCAUACUAUCAGAUUAGCCUAGGUCGGAUUAGCUAGUUGGUGGGGUAAAGGCCUAACAAGGCGACGAUCAGUAACUGGUCUAAGAUGAUGAUCAGUCAAACUGGAACUUAGACAAGGUCCAUACUCCUACGGGAGGCAGCAGUGGGGAAUAUUGGACAAUGUGCGAAAGCCUGAUCCAGCCAUGCCGCGUGUGUGAAGAAGGUCUUCGGAUUGUAAAGCACUUUAAGUUGGGAGGCGUUACCAACAGAAUAAGCACCGGCUAACUUCGUGCCAGCCGCCGCGGUAAUAC